GCACCUCUAGCUCAGUUGGUAGAGCAACUGACUCUUAAUCAGUGGGCCUAGGGUUCGAGUCCCUGGAGGUGCA
rnacentral:tRNA from 1 species